UGCAGUCGAGCGCAGGANCUCNUCCGAUCCCUUCGGGGUGACGAAGAGUGGAAUGAGCGGCGGACGGGUGAGUAACACGUGGGCAACCUACCUGUAAGACUGGGAUAACUCCGGGAAACCGGGGCUAAUACCGGAUAAUUCUCUCCUUCACAUGAAGGGGAAGUGAAAGGCGGCUUUUGCUGUCACUUACAGAUGGGCCCGCGGCGCAUUAGCUAGUUGGUGAGGUAACGGCUCACCAAGGCAACGAUGCGUAGCCGACCUGAGAGGGUGAUCGGCCACACUGGGACUGAGACACGGCCCAGACUCCUACGGGAGGCAGCAGUAGGGAAUCUUCCGCAAUGGACGAAAGUCUGACGGAGCAACGCCGCGUGAACGAAGAAGGUUUUCGGAUCGUAAAGUUCUGUUGUUAGGGAAGAACAAGUAGGAGUCGAAUAGGCUCCUGCCUUGACGGUACCUAACGAGAAAGCCCCGGCUAAC
rnacentral:rRNA from 1 species